rnacentral:misc_RNA from 1 species
AAGUCGUAACAAGGUUUCCGUAGGUGAACCUGCGGAAGGAUCAUUACAACGUAUCCACGUAUAAACCUUUGUGAACAUGUUUAACCGCAUAGUUGUAGCGUCGCAAAGCAAUUAACAAUUCGGAAAUAAAGUUAAUUGCCCGUUUCUCUCUCGCAGAGAAGGGAUGCUGUAACAAUGUUUUUCCGUUACAUAUUAACCACUGUAACUUUCUAUGUACUUACGGAUUAAAACGAAAGCUUUUCUUCGAUAAAUAUAAGAAAUUAUAGCACAACUCUUAGCAACGGAUAUCUAGGCUCUC